UACCAAGUCUUGUGCUGGGGUUGCUCCUCUGGGGUCUGGGGACAGAGGCAGUGUCCCCGAUCAAGUCAGCCAGGGCUCCUGCCCAAGUCAGCCAGGGCUCCUGCCCAAGUCCGUCAGCCAGGGCUCCUGCCCAAGUCCGUCAGCCAGGGCUCCUGCCCAAGUCAGUCAGCCAGGUCUCCUGCCCAAGUCCGUCAGCCAGGGCUCCUGCCCAAGUCAGCCAGGGAUCCUGCCCAAGUCAGCCAGGGAUCCUGCCCAAGUCAGCCAGGUCUCCUGCCCAAGUCAGCCAGGUCUCCUGCCCAAGUCAGCCAGGUCUCCUGCCCCAAGUCAGCCAGGUCUCCUGCCCCAAGUCAGCCAGGGCCCCUGCCCAAGUCAGCCAGGUCUCCUGCCCAAGUCAGCCAGGGCUCCUGCCCCAAGUCAGCCAGGGCUCCUGCCCAAGUUAGCCAGAAAGUGCUCUGCUGCAUCCAGCCCAUCCUCCCAAGGCCCCAAGAAGACCAGGUUUCCUUGCAGAAAGGCUUCCUCCUGUGCCACAGAGCUCCCCCCUGCUUGCCACCAGGGUUCUAACUAGUGACAUGGUGUCACCAGGCGGCAAAAUUGCGAUGUAUGCAGUCGAGGGGAGAAAUAAAGAAUGUCCACGUGCUUCUGCCCCUUUCAA